AUGCAAGUCGAGCGGUAAGGCCUUUCGGGGUACACGAGCGGCGAACGGGUGAGUCCCUCKUGGGUGAUCUGCCCUGCACUUCGGGAUAAGCCUGGGAMACUGGGUCUAAUACCGGAUAUGACCUCCURUYGCAUGRYGKGKGGUGGAAAGAUUUAUCGGUGCAGGAUGGGCCCGCGGCCUAUCAGCUUGUUGGUGGGGUAAUGGCCUACCAAGGCGACGACGGGUAGCCGACCUGAGAGGGUGACCGGCCACACUGGGACUGAKACACGGCCCAGACUCCUACGGGAGGCAGCAGUGGGGAAUAUUGCACAAUGGGCGAAAGCCUGAUGCAGCGACGCCSCGUGAGGGAUGACGGCCUUCGGGUUGUAAACCUCUUUCAGCAGGGACKAAGCGCAAGUGACGGUACCUGCAGAAGAAGCACCGGC
rnacentral:rRNA from 1 species